CUAUCUAGAGGGGCAUGAUCACUGACAUGUUCAAACAAUAAAUGAUUAUGACACGUUGGUUAUGUCAGAGGAAAAGGAAAAGGUGUAUCUGCUUAACAUGAUUUAAGGCUCUUAUCACCUACAGACCUGUUAUGAAGCCUAAUGGUGCUUAUCAUUUAGAAGCUCUGUGGUUGGGAGGCAGGAAUGCUGGCUUCUACUAUCAGCUAUUGCCCCAAACAUAGAACACAAGCACAGCCCAUUGGUAAGCUGCUGUGAUGAAGAAGCCGAAAAGGAGAGAGACCAGCUUUUCAGACUACUGGAUUUUCCAAGUCAAGAUAAGGAAGCAGUCAGGACACUGAUAAGAAUUUCAGCUUGAAGCACAUGACUGAGAUAAACCUGUAUUUGCAGGAAGCCUGAAGGCAGAGAUCCAGAAAAUAGACUCCCUGAGUCCAAGAGUUCCUGAAUUCAAGACAGAGGGAAGAGAUACCCCUUCAAGAGAGAGGUGAAGAUCUUUUAGACGUGUCCAAUGAAUAUAUUUGUUUUGCUCGACUAUAAUUGUUUGUAACAGAUUUUUUUUGUUUUUUGUUUUCCAUUCACAACGGGGAAGGAUGGGAGUAGGAGGAAGAGAGAGCAUAUUUUUGCUGUUUGAAAAAAAAAUUAAUUAUAAAAGAGAAAGGUGAAGAUUUCUUGAUAUAACACGUUCCUUGAGAAAAGAAGAGUCAUUCAUUUCUGUUCGACUACCUAAUUGGAGAGCAAAGGCAGUGAGCUGCAGGGCUGAAUAUGUGGAGCUAAAGCCUGUGUGGGUGGGGAGAUGCUUAUUUAGCACAGAGUGCCUAAAAUGGAAAUUGGGAAAUGUGUUACCCACACUUGAAACUUAAAUGUGAGUAAUAUGUAAGUUUUAUUUUGAAGAUAUCACUAAAGAAAACUCCAGGGUGGAGUCAAGAAGGCAAAGACAGAAACUGACCAUCUCUGGGUCAGGCGCCCAACACUGGAAGCUCAGAAUUCUUUGGGCUGGUAGCACUAGGCCAAGGGUUGCAUUUGGGCGUGUUCUGAAUUUACUAAUUUGUGUACAUACUGUUCCCCUCCCCUCUUCCAUGACCUUUACAGGAGAACAUAAGCUCCUGAGAGAAGGAGCUGUUUUGGUUUUUUUCUUCCUUUGAAUACUCAAAGCCUAGCAUAGUA